GAUGAACGCUGGCGGUCUGCUUAACACAUGCAAGUCGAACGGAAUCCUUCGGGAUUUAGUGGCGGACGGGUGAGUAACGCGUGAGAAUCUGCCUUCAGGCUCGGGACAACAGCUGGAAACGGCUGCUAAUACCGGAUGUGCCGAGAGGUGAAAGCUUGAGUGCCUGAAGAUGAGCUCGCGUCUGAUUAGCUAGUAGGAGUGGUAAUGGCACCCCUAGGCGACGAUCAGCAGCGGGUCUGAGAGGAUGAUCAGCCACACUGGGACUGAGACACGGCCCAGACUCCUACGGGAGGCAGCAGUGGGGAAUUUUCCGCAAUGGGCGCAAGCCUGACGGAGCAAGACCGCGUGAGGGAAGAAGGUCUGUGGAUUGUAAACCUCUUUUGAUGGGGAAGAAGACAGUGACGGUACCCAUCGAAUCAGCCUCGGCUAACUCCGUGCCAGCCGCCGCCGUAA
rnacentral:rRNA from 1 species